AGGAAUAUUGGUCAAUGGGCGAGAGCCUGAACCAGCCAAGUAGCGUGCAGGAUGACGGCCCUAUGGGUUGUAAACUGCUUUUAUAAGGGAAUAAAGUGAGAGUCGUGACUCUUUUUGCAUGUACCUUAUGAAUAAGGACCGGCUAAUUCCGUGCCAGCAGCCGCGGUAAUACGGAAGGUCCGGGCGUUAUCCGGAUUUAUUGGGUUUAAAGGGAGCGUAGGCCGGAGAUUAAGCGUGUUGUGAAAUGUAGACGCUCAACGUCUGCACUGCAGCGCGAACUGGUUUCCUUGAGUACGCACAAAGUGGGCGGAAUUCGUGGUGUAGCGGUGAAAUGCUUAGAUAUCACGAAGAACUCCGAUUGCGAAGGCAGCUCACUGGAGCGCAACUGACGCUGAAGCCCGAAAGUGCGGGUAUCGAACAGGAUUAGAUACCCUGGUAGUCCGCACGGUAAACGAUGGAUGCCCGCUGUUGGUCUGAACAGGUCAGCGGCCAAGCGAAAGCAUUAAGCAUCCCACCUGGGGAGUACGCCGGCAACGGUGAAACUCAAAGGAAUUGACGGGGGCCCGCACAAGCGGAGGAACAUGUGGUUUAAUUCGAUGAUACGCGAGGAACCUUACCCGGGCUUGAAUUGCAGAGGAAGGAUUUGGAGACAAUGACGCCCUUCGGGGCCUCUGUGAAGGUGCUGCAUGGUUGUCGUCAGCUCGUGCCGUGAGGUGUCGGCUUAAGUGCCAUAACGAGCGCAACCCCUCUCCUUAGUUGCCAUCAGGUCAUGCUGGGCACUCUGGGGACACUGCCACCGUAAGGUGUGAGGAAGGUGGGGAUGACGUCAAAUCAGCACGGCCCUUACGUCCGGGGCUACACACGUGUUACAAUGGCAGGUACAGAGAGACGGUUGUACGUAAGUACGAUCAAAUCCUCAAAGCCUGUCUCAGUUCGGACUGGGGUCUGCAACCCGACCCCACGAAGCUGGAUUCGCUAGUAAUCGCGCAUCAGCCAUGGCGCGGUGAAUACGUUCCCG
rnacentral:rRNA from 1 species